GGUAGUGUGGGGUCAGCUGCGGGGGUAAUGCGUGGGCUGCAUGCGUUAUCCGUAUUCGUUGGGUUUAAAGGGGGCGUAGGUGGCGAGUUAAGUCAGUGGGGAAAGCCCGCGGCUCAACCGUGGAAUUGCCAUUGAAACUGAAUAGCUUGAGUACAGUUGAAGUGGGCGGAAUACAUCAUGUAGCGGUGAAAUGCUUAGAUAUGAUGUAGAACACCGAUUGCGAAGGCAGCUCACUAAGCUGUAACUGACACUGAGGCACGAAAGCGUGGGUAGCGAACAGGAUUAGAUACCCGAGUAGUC
rnacentral:rRNA from 1 species